rnacentral:rRNA from 1 species
CCUACGGGCGGCAGCAGUGGGGGAUAUUGCACAAUGGGGGAAACCCUGAUGCAGCGACGCCGCGUGGGUGAAGAAGCGCCUCGGCGCGUAAAGCCCUGUCAGCAGGGAAGAAAAUGACGGUACCUGAAGAAGAAGCCCCGGCUAACUACGUGCCAGCAGCCGCGGUAAUACGUAGGGGGCAAGCGUUAUCCGGAUUUACUGGGUGUAAAGGGGGCGCAGACGGCGAUGCAAGCCAGGAGGGAAAGCCCGGGGCCCAACCCCGGGCAUGCGUUUGGAACUGCGUGGCUAGAGUGCAGGAGGGGCAGGCGGAAUUCCUGGUGUAGCGGUGAAAUGCGUAGAUAUCAGGAGGAACACCGGUGGCGAAGGCGGCCUGCUGGACUGCAACUGACGUUGAGGCCCGAAAGCGUGGGGAGCAAACAGGAUUAGAUACCCUAGUAGUC